GGACACGGUACUUCGCCAGGAAGCAAAACCCACAUCGACGGCACCUUCCUCCCCCUCCACAAAUAGCCGGACGGGGACGACUCCUCUCCAGCGAAGCAAACCCCACCUCGAUUCCUAUUCUUCCUCUUCCUCUUCCCCCACCACUUUCCCCAAUCUCCCCCAGAUUCCACCGCCAGGCGCGACCUCCCCCCACCCCUUGCCAUGCGCAACUCCGGCGCCACCGCCGCCUCGGCCCCUCCGGCCGCCACCAUGCACGGCUCCUACGCCGCGCCGCCCGCCUCCUCCGCCGGCUACGCCAAGAUCCCCACCUACCCGCCGCCGCCCUCCUCCUCCUACCCCAGCCCCAGCCCCAGCCCCGUCCCGCCCGCGGCUUCCGCCUCCGCCCCGGCCCCGAUCCAGGACCCCACGGCGCCGCCCUCCUCGCUCGCCAAGGCGGCCGAGCUCGUCACGCGGUUCCGGGAGCAGGGCCAGGCGCUCAUCGCCGCGCGCCGCCCCUGGGGGGAGGUCUUCCGCUCCCCCGCCUUCUCCAAGCCGCCCAACGUCGGCGAGGCCGUCUCCCGGAUGCGCCGCAACACGGCCUACUUCCGCGCCAACUACGCGCUCGCCGUCCUCGCCGUCGUCGCCGCCUCGCUCUUCUGGCACCCGGGCACCCUCUUCGCGCUCCUCGCGCUCUGCGCCGCCUGGUUCUUCCUCUACUUCGCGCGCCCCGCCGAGGGCGCCCAGCCGCUCCGGAUCUUCGGCACCGAGUUCGACGACGGCACCGUCCUCGCCCUGCUCUCCGGGGUCACCGUCAUCGCCAUGCUCUUCACCGACGUCGGGUGGAACGUCGUCGGCUCGGUCAUGAUCGGGCUCGCCCUCGCGGGCGCGCACGCCGCGCUCAGGUCCACCGACGACCUCUUCCUGACCGAGCAGGAGGCGGCCGGCAAUGGGCUGGUUGCCGCAGGCUUCAGCGCUGCUGGACCCAUCUUGCCCACCUAUGUCCGCAUUGGUUGAUUGUGCAGUCUGGCGUGGUGGCAUAAUGGUGCUCCAAUCUUUGUUGGACAUUCUCGGUUUGUGUUCUUGUUUGCAAUUGUGCAUUGGCAGUUCUGUUUCAUAUAUACAGCACAGAAUCUAUUGGUUCGUGUGUUGGCGUGUAAAAAACCUAGAUUGGCUUGUGAUCUUAGACGCAAUAGUAAAUUAGUAAUGUUUGCAAUCAUAUUAUGAACAUAUUAUACACUUUUCUUCUGAACUGAGUGUAAAGCUGUUAUGUUGAUAAUGGCAAUUGCCAUCCGAUUCUUCACUAUAGUUUGCUGCAAAUGCUAAUGUUGAUGUUCUUGUGCAAUUCGCUUUGUGAAUUUCAC
rnacentral:rRNA from 1 species